GCUGGCUGGAUGACCGCUGCCGCUACGCCCGAAAGGGUGCGGGGGAGGAAAGUCCGGGCUCCAUGGAAACACGGUGCCGGGUAACGCCCGGCGGGGGCGACCCCAGGGAAAGUGCCACAGAAAUGAUACCGCGGAUCCGGGCUUCGGCCUGACGCAAGGGUGAAAAGGUGCGGCAAGAGCGCACCGCGUGCUCAGCAAUGAGGACGGCAUGGCAAACCCCACCGGGAGCAAGACCGAAUAGGGGUGGCGCGGCGGCCGCAAGGCCGCCAGGGACGUUUCCGUUCCAGCCACCCGGGUAGGUUGCGAGAAGCGUCCGGCGACGGGCGUUCCAGAUGAAUGGUCAUCCAGUGCGGGGCAACCCGCAGGGACAGAACCCGGCUUACAGGCCAGCUGG
rnacentral:RNase_P_RNA from 1 species